UACGUAGGGUGCAAGCGUUGUCCGGAAUUAUUGGGCGUAAAGAGCUUGUAGGCGGUUUGUCGCGUCGAAUGUGAAAACCCGGGGCUCAACCCCGGGCCUGCAUUCGAUACGGGCAGACUAGAGUUCGGUAGGGGAGUCUGGAAUUCCUGGUGUAGCGGUGAGAUGCGCAGAUAUCAGGAGGAACCCCGGUGGCGAAGGCGGGACUCUGGGCCGAUACUGACGCUGAGGAGCGAAAGCGUGGGGAGCAAACAGG
rnacentral:rRNA from 1 species